UACGUAGGGGGGCAAGCGUUGUCCGGAUUUAUUGGGCGUAAAGCGCGUGUAGGCGGCCAUGUAGGUCUGACGUGAAAUUCCGAGGCUCAACCUCGGCAGGUCGUUGGAAACCAUAUGGCUAGAGUCCGGAAGAGGAGAGUGGAAUUCCGUGGUGUAGUGGUGAAAUGCGUAGAGAUCGGCAGGAACACCCAGGGGGGAAACCAGUCGACUGGGCAUCUACUGACGGCUGAGGUGCGAGAGCGUGGGGAGCGAACCGG
rnacentral:rRNA from 1 species